CUGGGCCAGGCCUCCCAGGAACCUUGCCCACCCUGGCCCAGCCCUGCCUGGCAGGCAGACCCGGAGGCGUCCCUGAAGGGUCUCCCUGUGUAUGCCAGGCUGAACCUUGAACCGUGUGUAUAGCACAGGCUGGUCUGGAACUUGCCGCGAUCCUCCUGCCACAGCCUCCUGAGUGCUGGGACCGAAGGCCAGGCAAACAGGCAUGUGCCAGAUGUGGCUGUGGGCUGCAGUGUGCUGACUCACCUUGGCUGGGGACUUCAAGGCGUGCAGAGGUCUCUGAUGCCGGCUCGGCACAAGAACACAGGACGGAAGCUCCAGCAGAUCCGGACACUUUCUGACACUGCCAAGGCGGGACUCAUUUGCGCCUGCACAUCUGGCACCGGAAUGAGCAGGAAGCCAACUCGGGCCAGGGCACGGGCUUCCUCUGCUUUCCCAGCGGCCCACAUCGCGUGCUGGCACAGGAGGCGGCAGGGAGGAAGGGCUGGUCCCGCAGCCCGGCCCACAGCCCCUCUGCCAGGCAGGGCCAGUCCUCCCUCAGGGGGCUGCAGAGUAACGGAUAAGCCUGCCGUUGGGAACCCAACAAAUGUCGCCUCCCUCCUCCCGCCACCCACCAAAACCCAAGGCCAGCAGGCUGUGUCAUGUCAACGGAGGCCUGAAAGUCAUCUGCACCAGCUUUGCCAAGCCACACCCCGGCACACGCCCCCUGAGGGCGGAGCCUUUGUAUGCUUUGUCCACCCACAGGCGGCUCCUGUUUCCCACCGAUCGAGGUAUCUGCCACAGUGGGGCCUCCCCAGGCUUGCAGUCGGGCCCCUCUGCCCCUGCGAGCUCCGAGCUUGGGGGUGGGGUGUCGGGGCGUCUGCUGCAGGAUCCCCCUACCCUGGCAGGGACGGAUGGACGUGAGUCCCCGAGCAGGUGUGAGCCAGCCAGGGACACGGCCACAGUGGGGGCUUUGCCCUGGUUCCCAAGGCUGGGCGGGUCCGUCAUCUCCACAGUCCGGUCCCUAGCAGACAGAGACCUGGAACAGGGCCGGUCCCUGCCCUGGCCGCCCUCAGCUCUGCCUCCAGCCUCCAAAACACCGUACGCUGCCCUGAGGCCGAGUCCUUGGCACCCUGUGUCCCUAAGCCCAGCCACCUCCCAUGGUGACGGGAGCCAGGAUCUCACCUGAGCCCUGCUGCCCAGGCCCGGGGCUGCGUCCCUCUGCAGCAGCUGCAGGCCCAGGCUGGACAGCUCCUUCUGCAGGCUCAGCACGGUGGCAGAGUGGUUCUCGUAGCUCCUGAGCUGCUCACUGAGGUGGCGCACGCUCUCCUUCACCACCUCGUUCUCCCGGCUCAGGUUGGCCUUGACGCUCUGCAGGGUGAGAGUCCAGGAGGGCCCGUCACCCCAGAGGGACGCCCCAUCCUGGCCAUGAGGCCUCACUGCCUGUGUCCUGAGCAGGGCUGCAGGGCAUGGGCUGUGGUGACCCCAGUGAGCAUGGGUGGAAUAAAGCCUGCACCAUGACUUUCUUUCUUUUCUUUUUUUUCUUUUUUGGUACCAGGGAUCAAACUCAGGACCUUGCACUUGCAAGGCAGGUGGUGACCCCACUGAGCUAACUCCCUGGCAAUUAUCCAUUUUUCUUGAGUCAGGGUUUCGCUAUGUAGUCCAGCUGGCUGAAACUCAUGGCAGUCCUCCUGCCUCGGCCUCCUGAGUGCUAGGAUUACAGGUUGAAUUUUUAAUCUAACAAGGGAAGGGAUCUAAAAAGUUAUGUUGUUUUCUUGCCUUUGUUUACAUGUCAGUGCUGACAAGUGUUUUGAGUUUCUUGCAUAUCCUUUGAAAGAAUCUGAGAACCACGGGUAGAUGAGAAGACAGCAAGGAAGCUGGGACUGUAAAACGCUGCCUGAUCCUAGAGUGGGGGGUUCCCUUGGCGAAAGACAGCAGCCCCUUGGAGAGACUGUUCCCCGGCCUCCUCCCAGGUUAACAAAGGAGCUCCUUCCCCAGGGGGCUGUGGCUUAGUAAGCUGAGGUUAACAAAAACAGCACAGAUCAUGCAAAAGCAGUCAAUCAGACAAGCGUCUCUCUGUGUGUGGAAAUCAUUUCCGGUGUGUCCCACGCUUGGCAAAGGCACCCCCAGCUCGCCUGGCCCAGAGUUGCAGGAAGCAAGAUUACAAGGAGGAAAGGCCAGCCUGGCAGUGCUGCUACAAAGGAGGUGAGUGCACAGAAGAAAUCCCACAACCAGCAGCCUUGCCUGGGCCACCAAAUCUUUAGAGCCCACGGUGACCCCAGCCUGGGGAUUUAGAACAGAUUAACCUUCCAUCCUGGGGCACAGGAUGCCCGGGUGCCCCCUCUCUGGAAAGGAAGCUGGGAAAGGAAGCCCCACGCCUGGGCCUGGCAGCUGCAGGUCUCCAGGCCCCCAGCAGAGCAGCAGAGGCCGGAAGCAGGAAAUAGGUGGAGAUGCACGCCUUGACCCUGCGGCGAGGACCUGCAGCCCGCCCACUCUGUCCCUGUGCCCAGCCCUACACCACAUUUGUCCUGAGCAGGGCAGCGGCUCUGUUCCCCUGCAGUCAGGCUGUCCUGGUGAACUUGGCCAGCCCUGUCAUCUUGCACCAGUGCUGGGGCACCACUGGCACGGUAUCUUCUGUUUUAAAAAUUUUGUUUUUUUGAGACAGGGUCUCACUAUGUAGCCCAGGCUGGCCCUGAACCUGCAGCAAUCCUCCUGCCUCAGCCUUUGGAGGGCUGGGAUUACAGACAUCCGCCGCCACAACCAGCUCAAGGUAUCUUCUGUGAAUUGUCCCCCCCAGAGCCAUGUAAGUGGACCCUGUUCUUGGCAUACUGAAGACAACCACAAGUUCCAGCCCCUUCUGCGUCCCUUUCGUACAACUGGCAAGUGCCUCAAUUUCCCGACCCAGCUGCCCAGCUUCCCACAGGCCCAGGAGCCCAUGAGAACUCUUCCCAAAGCCUGGACCUCGUGGCCUGCCCCCCACCCCCACUUCCAAAGGCCACAGAUGUCAAGCUGGAACUGUCCCAGCCUUACCUCCUCCAGCGUGCUCAUCUGGGAGGCCACCUUGUGGACGUACGCGUGCACUUUCAUCAGGUCCACGCUGUACAGGGCACCUUCCAGGAGGUCCGCCAUGGACUGCAGCUGCGAGACAGGAAGUUUAGCAGAUAGUUUGAAAAGCAAUGGGUAGAAGGAAGCAACAAGUGGCCAGGAGGACUGGGACAGAGAGACAGCAGGGAGGCAUCCUUUAGCACACCCACUGCAACAGCCCAUGUCCAGGACACUACUUCUCUGCCUGAGGAACUCCUACACAUCCCACAUGGCCCAGCUCUGACCUUGCCCCUCCUGAAGCUCCCACAGUCCCAGGACAUCCCCUGGCUCAUUAGACGUAUCAGCAGCUACGCUCUCCAAGUCUGGUGACUCCUCCAGAGUGGGACCAUGACAUCUAGGCAAUGUCCAGAAGGCAAAGGAGGAGAGGUGACAGGCAUGCUGCUUACAACGCCUCUGGUGGGUGAGCAGAUGCAGCAGAGAACUCUGGGUUCAAAUCUCAGUGUUGCCAGUUUCCAGCUGUGCAACCUUUGGCAAGUCACAACCCCUCUCUGGGCCUCCCGUUCCCUCCCAAGGUGUCAGAGCAAGGAUUAAAUGAGCGAGCGCUCGUGAAAAGGGCUCUGUGUGUCGUCCUGUGAAGCCGCUUUACCGUUCAGUUACUAAAAUGUGACUUGAGCAGAAACUGCCUUUGUCCCUGUCCCUGAAGACCCUCCUGUGGCCUGGGUGCCUGGAGUCGGCCAGGCAGGGCCCAGGGAGACCCCGGGGAGAUGGGCGUGGUUCGGAUUGCCAGGCUGUCAGGAGCCCACUCAGCCUGACCCUCAGUUACCCUCCAGUUUUGUGAAUGUUGGCAUCCACAUGGGUGUUACGAAAAGAAAACUAAAGGUAAAUUUAAAGAAAGUGUCUUUUGCUGAAGGCUGGGUGACGGCUCUUCAGGGGCCUCCCGCUUUUCUGCAUGGGCUACACAUAGGGACCUGACUCUUGCUCCGAGCCGCCUGGGUGUCUCAGAGCAGCCCUGGAAAUGCUGAGAAAUCCAGGCUCCUCCCUGUCUGCACACGCACACUGUGUGUCCGGCACUUACCUGGGCCUCACCCACCGCCCAGUGAGAAAACAAGAUCUGCCCGUACAUAUCUAUAAUCCCAGCACUCACAGCACUUGGGAGGCCGAGGCAGGAGAAUCGCUAAGA